rnacentral:rRNA from 1 species
GGUCAAGUGAAGAAGCGCAUACGGUGGAUGCCUUGGCAGUCAGAGGCGAUGAAAGACGUGGUAGCCUGCGAAAAGCUUCGGGGAGUCGGCAAACAGACUGUGAUCCGGAGAUGUCUGAAUGGGGGAACCCAGCCAUCAUAAGAUGGUUAUCUUACACUGAAUACAUAGGUGUAAGAGGCGAACCAGGGGAACUGAAACAUCUAAGUACCCUGAGGAAAAGAAAUCAACCGAGAUUCCCUUAGUAGUGGCGAGCGAACGGGGACCAGCCCUUAAGUUGUAUUGAGAUUAGCGGAACGCUCUGGAAAGUGCGGCCAUAGUGGGUGAUAGCCCUGUACGCGAAAAUCCCUUUGCAAUGAAAUCGAGUAGGACGGGGCACGAGAAACCUUGUCUGAAUAUGGGGGGACCAUCCUCCAAGGCUAAAUACUACUGACUGACCGAUAGUGAACCAGUACCGUGAGGGAAAGGCGAAAAGAACCGCGGAGAGCGGAGUGAAAUAGAUCCUGAAACCGUAUGCGUACAAGCAGUGGGAGCCCACUUUGUUGGGUGACUGCGUACCUUUUGUAUAAUGGGUCAGCGACUUAUUUUCAGUGGCGAGCUUAACCGAAUAGGGGAGGCGUAGCGAAAGCGAGUCUUAAUAGGGCGUCUAGUCGCUGGGAAUAGACCCGAAACCGGGCGAUCUAUCCAUGGGCAGGUUGAAGGUUGGGUAACACUAACUGGAGGACCGAACCGACUACCGUUGAAAAGUUAGCGGAUGACCUGUGGAUCGGAGUGAAAGGCUAAUCAAGCUCGGAGAUAGCUGGUUCUCCUCGAAAGCUAUUUAGGUAGCGCCUCAUGUAUCACUGUAGGGGGUAGAGCACUGUUUCGGCUAGGGGGUCAUCCCGACUUACCAAACCGAUGCAAACUCCGAAUACCUACAAGUGCCGAGCAUGGGAGACACACGGCGGGUGCUAACGUCCGUCGUGAAAAGGGAAACAACCCAGACCGUCAGCUAAGGUCCCAAAGUCAUGGUUAAGUGGGAAACGAUGUGGGAAGGCUUAGACAGCUAGGAGGUUGGCUUAGAAGCAGCCACCCUUUAAAGAAAGCGUAAUAGCUCACUAGUCGAGUCGGCCUGCGCGGAAGAUGUAACGGGGCUCAAACCAUGCACCGAAGCUACGGGUAUCACCUUUGGUGAUGCGGUAGAGGAGCGUUCUGUAAGCCUGUGAAGGUGAGUUGAGAAGCUUGCUGGAGGUAUCAGAAGUGCGAAUGCUGACAUGAGUAACGACAAUGGGUGUGAAAAACACCCACGCCGAAAGACCAAGGUUUCCUGCGCAACGUUAAUCGACGCAGGGUUAGUCGGUCCCUAAGGCGAGGCUGAAAAGCGUAGUCGAUGGAAAACAGGUUAAUAUUCCUGUACUUCUGGUUAUUGCGAUGGAGGGACGGAGAAGGCUAGGCCAGCCUGGCGUUGGUAGUCCAGGUUUAAGGUGGUAGGCUGAGAUCUUAGGUAAAUCCGGGAUCUUAAGGCCGAGAGCUGAUGACGAGUGUUCUUUUAGAACAUGAAGUGGUUGAUGCCAUGCUUCCAAGAAAAGCUUCUAAGCUUCAGGUAACCAGGAACCGUACCCCAAACCGACACAGGUGGUUGGGUAGAGAAU